GGGUGCUCACUUGCUCUCUGCAAACAGGUGGAGGCUGCUCAGCCCUGACUUCUGCUUGCACAUCCCACUCGGCACAGAUGGGUGCUAAUGUUGCCAGCUCUGCUCUGGAAGGGCUACGCUUCGUUAGCGUCGUAUUAACGCCUCUAGCAGUGCUGGCCAGAGCUUUAAGAGAUAGUUCCAGCAAUGAGCAUAUCGGAGCAGCAAAGACACAGCUGCUCGAAACAGCAACGUGCAGUGGUUAUAUAUGCAAUGAAAAAGGUUAUAUAUGCAAUGAAAAAAGACCUCCUUCAAGGAAGCUAUUGAAGACAGCUGCAGAUCAGUCCUCCUCAGGGUUCAUUAGCUUUUUUCAUCUUCUCUAAACCAGCCCUGGGCAUGACUUUAGAAGAUGAUUAAACCAAAAAUUUGUGUGUCAUUACACCUUCUACAACUCCAGCUGCAACACUUUAUCCGUGAAAGCCCCAGGAUCCAAGAUCCAGGAUAGAAGCCUUCUGUCUCUCGACUUCCUUGGCAUGCUGGUUACAAUCUCUGCUCCCACCACCACCUAUGUCUGAAUUGUGAUUGGUUAAAAACCCUUAAUCUUUGCUGGGAUUGCAUAAACAGAAACAUGGAUUGCCAGCCACCCAAAAUCUCCGGUGAGCCCUGGACUGUGACAAACAAAAGGCCCUUCAGUAUUCUCCCCAGCAAGUGCUUCACAAAGGUGGAGUGAAUUUUGUGCCAGAGUUCCUUCCUCUUUAUGCUGUAGGGAUGCCCUAAAUGGUUCUGUUAUGUGGAGGACAGAUACAUAUUUAUCUGUAAUCCUGACCAUACAGAUGGUGAGAUGCCAGCUAUAAAUCAACAGGAUCUGCAAAGUUUUGCCAAAGGCACUCAUAACUGUGAGUUGCACACAUGGGUGCUUUAAGUGCUAAAAAAGGCCCUACUCUCUUCACACCUGAAAUAUGGGUCCACAGCCCUUAUACCUACAGCAUUCACAAGCCAGUACAUGGUAGCCCAUGCAGAGCACUUUUAAAUUUGAAAUGCAGACACAUGACCUCAGAUUCCACUCAUAAAGGGCUAUCUGUAUUGCAAUGUUUGAGACUUACAAGUGCAAACACAGCAGAGGCACUAAGGGCUUAUGUGAAAAAAUAAUUAUUCCAUGUAGAAAGGAAGUUGGCUUGCUUUGAGCAGAGGUGUUAAUAGACUAACCUUUUUCCCCAACACCAGCCUGCUUACCUGAAAAUAUGAAAACAUCUACAGAUGCAGCACUCUAUUUGAGACUUCCAGAGCAAGUAAUUCCCAGAGCACUCUUGGCUGCCUAUUUUCAAGUACUGAGGCUGAGAAAGCUAAGCCUAUCUAUACUUGGAGGAAAAUAAGAAGACCAGGCUAAUUAAAAAUUCACCUUUGCCCUGUAUUCCUAAAAGCACUGCACAGCCCCAUGGCACCAAACACUUCGUGUUUUUAGUGGAGAGUUUAAAGCAGAGUUUGCUUCUGGUAACUUUUCCUUUUAGUGUCUCUUUAAUAAAAAGGAAUAACAAUUGGAAACCAGCUCCCAAAGUGGCACACUCAGUCUUUUCUCUGCUUCUAUUUAAUGUAUUCUAUUGUAAUAAAGUGAACACACACACACACACAAACCUAUUAGCCCUACAAUUAAACAAAUAAUGGCAUUAACAACUCCCACCCACCGCCUUAAGCAGGUUUAGCUGGGAGAGCAGAAGCAGCUGUCUCUGUCCUGUGUCUCUGCCAGAGGUCACCAUCCUGUAGCAGGAUCAGCUGAUCCUCCUGGAUAAACUCCUGAGCAAGUGUAGUGUACAGGCUCCAGCAUGAUCAUAAACCACCUCCAAUUUCAGUUUACUCUGGCAGUACCCUCCUACAAAAAUAAGGGAAGAAACCUAAGACUGGUAACUGUUUCAUCUCUUAGUAUCAGAUAAAUCCACCUUUGAUUACGCUUCAAAGCCCCAAAAAAUGGAACAGUCAAGUUUAUAAUAAUGCUCUAGGUUGCCAUGAAUUCACAUAAAUUCUUGUACUGACAAAGGUCACUGACAUAACCAUUGAACUACACUGCUAAUAGAAGAGCUAAGAGAGGUCCUCUAAAGUUUAUCCAGGCAUGUGUAGGCUUUGAACAUUUUCAAAGCUAGCUAGCUCUAUGAAAUUCAGCUAUUUCCAACCCUAGGACUAGGACAAGUUUGGGUAUCUCCAUAUGGCCCCCAGGAGUGUUGCUAUAUCCAAGCUACCACUGCUACCACAUGAAAUCAUCUCAAACAGUGAAGAGACGAGAGAAGGACAAGGUUCCCGCUCAAGUGAGAGGUAUUUUUUUCACAUCAGACCAACAGAUGAUUGACUCAGAAGCUAUCAAUGUCUUUUUGGCAUCCAAAGUGGAGACACACAUACUUACAGUGGACUUGCUUACUGGUAAUUAUAGAGAAAACAGCAGGUGGUUACAGUUGAGUUUCUGGUGCAGAUUUCACACUGUCAGAUUCACACGAAACAGAGAAAGACGUCAGUUUUGAGCAGUGGUGUGAAUGAGGAGAGUGCUAAACAGUAGAUAUACCUUGAAAGCAGGAAAAUAAUACAUAAGGACUGCCAUGAUCUCCAUAGUGCAGGGGGUGUAUGCAACAGAAGAUUUAAAAAUGAGGGCAAGAUUUAUUAUGCUUUUUCUAGAGCAUUAGGUAAGGCAUUUGAGGCUGGGAGGUGUGGGAAGACUAGAGCAAGGAAGAUCUUUCAAAAGAAGAAUGAUUUGUGAUAUCUGGAGGGGGUUUGUUUUACAAUGCUUGAACCACAUUUACUGCACUGUAGCUGCUGCAAUACCACAAAGUCCUGGUGUAGGUGCAUCUCACUGAGAAGGGAAGAUCUUCUCUUGUGGCUUUCACCACACUUGUCCCAGCCUCCUACGUAUGGUUUGCACUGACACAGCUCCAGGUAGCCCCGAGACAUCAAACCUGACACAACCAUCCUGUGCACCCUUCUAAACACCGCAGGCAAGCCCUGCUCCUCUCGGUCACAUUUGUAAUUCUGGGCACUUCCCUGCAGCUAAGAGAAACUCUGAGCUGGUAUAUCUGUACAGAGACAAGCAGGAUCUGGUGUCUGUCAUGUAAAUCCUCCCUAAAGUCAUCCUCUAAACCUUCCAUGAUGCAUUUUCAAGACUAUCUUAUUUAAAUGAGAGCAUGAGAGAAGAGGGAGUAGAACAAGGCUGGCACACUGGCAAGGGCAGGCGUGGAGCCAGCCAGCUCCCUCAGGGCAGGGAAGGCAGCCCUGCUCACAGCGUGCUGGAAGCCACUCUGCAGGCUAUUUGUGUCACAGGCCACUCCUGAAGCCACCCUCCCAGCUAUUCUUGUCACAGGCCACUCUGCAGAGCCCUGCCAGCUUCUGCAGGAGGGCACAGGCACAUGAUAAGGAUAAGCAGGAGCUGAAACAAGAUGGCACCAAAUGAAUUUCCCUCUGCAUGACCUAUGCAGUGGAUUUUCUGGCAUCUCAAUAAGCACAAAGAGAAACCCACUGGAGUAAGCAGAGCCCUGCGUCAGCAAAACACCAGCUCUCACAUGAAACACUC